CUUCAAAGAAAAAAAGAAAGUAUCCAAAACUUUUAAUCUUUUGCAAAACAGAAAUUUAUAAUGUCUUCCAAAGAUAACUUGUCCUGAGUGUGUUCCAAAGAAAACUUGUCCUGAGAUCUGAAAAUUGCUGUUCAAAUAAAAAACAAUGCGUGAAACUUUAACAUUUUUGAUGUUUCAAACAAUAACUCAAUUCUUUUCAUUGCACAUUCUUUGUUGGCGCGUUUGUGUGGUGUAAAGAUUUGAGUUAUUCUGAAUUUUUAAUGAAUUAAUAAUUUGAUUUGCCAUCUUCAAAGAAAAAAAGUAGAUAUAUUCAAAACUUAAUCUUUUAUCUUCAAUUUUUAAAUCAUAAUCCAUUGUACAGCAUUUUGGACCAUUAAGAGCUGGACAAGACAACCAAAGCGGGUUAUGGUGCUGAAAGUACCAUUAUUGUAAACUGGACUUCUACAAUCCAUUUGAGGGUGUAGUAAUAUCUGCUACUAUUUCCUCCCUAAGGGCGUUGUAACGGACAUAAAUUAAGGCUUAGAAAUAAGAAUGUCACAACAGUGAUGUUGUCUACACAUAGAGGUAGCGGGAAAGUAUAGGUCCUAUUUGUAGGGACAGACAGUGCCACUCUGCACGUUAAAGAACCCUUGUCACAACUCUUUUGAGGUGUCAGUAGGAUGUGGCUUGUUGCAUUAAUAGGCUAAAUUUCUGUCCAAAAAUAUCCUCUUCGGUUGGCAGUCAAAAUUCCCCCUCCCUUCACCAUAGGAUUGGACCACUUUAUAGAACCUACAAAUUGAUUUGUUGUGAUAUCAAGAGAUGUGAGACAACUAUCCUACAGAGACCAAAUGAUGUUAAUGUAAAAUAGGUUACUGUAUGGGCUUCAACAAUGAGAAAAUCCACUAACAUUAAAAUUUUGCAAUAUUCUGAUUUAGAAUGACUUGUUUAUACCUCCAAACUUUAACAUCUGAUAUUUUUAUUAUCUAGAGCUUUGUAAAAAAAAAAAGAAAAAAAAAUAUAAAAAAGAAAAUACCAAAAAAUAAUAUGAAAGCAAAAUAGAAAACAUAGUUCUAGAUAAUAAACAUUGAGGGUGGGAUAAUUUUGAUAUUUUUAUGACCCCCACCUUUAAGUCUUCUAAAGUUCUCAUAUUUAAAACAAAAAAAAUUGGAAUGGCAGUUUAAAAAGUAUAGGUCCUUUCUGUAGGGACAGUGCAACUCUGCACGUUGAAGAACCCUUGUCACAACUCUUUUGAGGUGUUAGUAGGACUUGGCUUGUUGCGUUAGGCCAAAUUUCUGUCCAAUAAUUUCCUCCUCGAUUGACAGUCAAAAUUUCCCCUACCUUCACCAUUGGCCCACUUUAUAGAACCUACAAAUUGAUUUGUUGUGAUAUCAAGAGAUGUGAGACAACUAUCCUACAGAGACCAAAUGAUGUUAAUGUAAAAUAGGUUACUGUAUGGGCUUCAACAAUGAGAAAAUCCACUAACAUUACAAUUUUGCAAUAUUUUGAUUGAGAAUGACUUGUUUAUACCUCCAAACUUUAACACCUGAUAUUUUUAUUAUCUAGAGCUCGUGAAUUAAUAAUUUGAUUUGCCAUCUUCAGAGAAAAAAAGAAGAUAUUCAAAACUUAAUCUUUUAUCUUCAAUUUUUAAAACAUAAUCCAUUGUACAGCAUUUUGGACCAUUAAGAGCUGGGCAAGACAACCAAACCGUGCAAUGGUGCUGAAAGUACCAUUAUUG
rnacentral:lncRNA from 1 species